rnacentral:rRNA from 1 species
GACGAACGCUGGCGGCGUGCUUAACACAUGCAAGUCGAGCGAUGAAGUUCCUUCGGGAACGGAUUAGCGGCGGACGGGUGAGUAACACGUGGGUAACCUGCCUCAUAGAGGGGAAUAGCCUUCCGAAAGGAAGAUUAAUACCGCAUAAGAUUGUAGUUUCGCAUGAAACAGCAAUUAAAGGAGUAAUCCGCUAUGAGAUGGACCCGCGUCGCAUUAGCUAGUUGGUGAGGUAACGGCUCACCAAGGCGACGAUGCGUAGCCGACCUGAGAGGGUGAUCGGCCACAUUGGGACUGAGACACGGCCCAGACUCCUACGGGAGGCAGCAGUGGGGAAUAUUGCACAAUGGGGGAAACCCUGAUGCAGCAACGCCGCGUGAGUGAUGACGGUCUUCGGGUUGUAAAACUCUGUCUUCAGGGACGAUAAUGACGGUACCUGAGGAGGAAGCCACGGCUAACUACGUGCCAGCCGCCGCUGUAA